CCCCGGCGGUCGCGCAGGGCGGCGACCUCGCGGCGUUGCGCGCCGCGCCGCACCUGGUGUUCCGCAGCACCGCGCUGGGGG
rnacentral:tRNA from 1 species